UACGGGGGGAGCAAGCGUUGUUCGGAUUUACUGGGCGUAAAGGGCGCGUAGGCGGCCACCGCAAGUCAAUUGUGAAAUCUCCGGGCUUAACUCGGAAAGGUCAACUGAUACUGCGGGGCUAGAGUGCGGAAGGGGCAACUGGAAUUCUCGGUGUAGCGGUGAAAUGCGUAGAUAUCGAGAGGAACACCUGCGGCGAAGGCGGCAUCCUGGACCAAUAUUGACGCUGAGGAGCGAAAGCCAGGGGAGCAAACGGG
rnacentral:rRNA from 1 species